GACAGAGGGGAGUCAUGCAGGAACAUGGGCAGCAGUCACUCCCUGCUCUCAUGGGACUGUGUGCAGCUUCUCCCAUGUC
ensembl:miRNA gga-mir-1697 gga-mir-1697